CUGCUGGAAAAGAGACACGGAAAAGAGUGGAAAAGAGACACGGCAGUUGAUGGCAAUGGAGGAUAGCAAAGGAUGCAAGAUGUCCCAGAGCCCCAAGAACUGCAAUAGGGUUAGGAUUCUCUGGGGUACAAACUCCCCUCACACAAGGGUCAGCAAAACUGGGCUGCAAGCUUCAGCUGAGAUUGUGUCCUUGAGUCUCUUGCCAUCCCUGAGGUGCUGUGCUCAGGAGCCUUUGAAUCCAGGUAGUUCCCCAGCUGGGAAAAUCUAACUCCGUCUUGCUGACUCCCCCCAUCUCUAUUAGGGCUGCGUGACAAACUUCUUCUUAUACAUUCACCUCGGUGGAUUUUCUGCUUGCCUGGGCUCUUUCCAGUUACACACAACAACAGCGGUAAAAUGCUUCGGCUUGGCAGGAUCGUAUUGAAAACGACCCCCAGAAUCUCAAACUCCUACAACGAGGAAAUACAGCAACUUUUUUGUGACGCACAUGUAAUGUUGUAGCACUAUAAUGCAAAAAUAAAAUCUGAAAUAAGGCA